UACGUAGGUGGCAAGCGUUAUCCGGAUUCACUGGGCGUAAAGCGCGUGCAGGCGGUUUCGUAAGUCGGACGUGAAAGCUCCUGGCUUAACUGGGAGAGGUCGUUCGAUACUGCGAGGCUUGAGGUCGGGAGAGGGACGUGGAAUUCCCGGUGUAGUGGUGGAAUGCGUAGAUAUCGGGAGGAACACCAGUGGCGAAGGCGACGUCCUGGCCCGCACCUGACGCUGAGACGCGAAAGCGUGGGUAGCGAACGGGAUUAGAUACC
rnacentral:rRNA from 1 species